rnacentral:rRNA from 1 species
GACGAAGGGGGCAAGCGUUGUUCGGAAUUACUGGGCGUAAAGCGAGUGUAGGUGGUUGUCGUAGUCAGGUGUGAAAGCCUUGAGCUCAACUCAAGAAAUGCACUUGAUACUGGGCAGCUAGAGGACCGGAGAGGAUAGUGGAAUUCCCAGUGUAGUGGUGAAAUACGUAGAGAUUGGGAAGAACACCAGUGGCGAAGGCGGCUAUCUGGACGGUUUCUGACACUAAGACUCGAAAGCGUGGGGAGCAAACAGG